rnacentral:rRNA from 1 species
CUAGCGACUUCAGAGUUUGAUCCUGGCUCAGGAUGAACGCUGGCGGCGUGCCUAACACAUGCAAGUCGAGCGGGAUCUUCUGGAUUGAAACUUAGGUCGAAAGAAGGAAGUGAGAGCGGCGGACGGGUGAGUAACGCGUAGGCAACCUGCCCUUUGCAGAGGGAUAGCCAUUGGAAACGAUGAUUAAAACCUCAUAAUGCCAUGAAACGACAUCGCUUUAUGGCCAAAGAUUUAUCGGCAAAGGAUGGGCCUGCGUCUGAUUAGCUAGUUGGUGAGGUAACGGCUCACCAAGGCGACGAUCAGUAGCCGACCUGAGAGGGUGAUCGGCCACAUUGGAACUGAGACACGGUCCAA